CACGUAGGGCGCAAGCGUUGUCCGGAAUUAUUGGGCGUAAAGAGCUCGUAGGCGGUCUGUUGCGUCCGCUGUGAAAACUCGGGGCUUAACCCCGAGCCUGCAGUGGAUACGGGCAGACUAGAGGUAGGUAGGGGAGAAUGGAAUUCCUGGUGUAGCGGUGAAAUGCGCAGAUAUCAGGAGGAACACCGGUGGCGAAGGCGGCAUUCUGGACCAUUACUGACGCUGAGACACGAAAGCGUGGGUAGCAAACAGG
rnacentral:rRNA from 1 species